UACAACAUAACUUUAAUGCAUCAGAUCCCAUUAGAACUCCACAAUUAAGCAUGCUCAGGCUAGAGUAGUACUGGGAUGGGUGAUCACAUGAGAAUUCCUAGUGUUUUAC
rnacentral:rRNA from 1 species